AAUGAACGCUGGCGGCGCGCCUAAUACAUGCAAGUCGAGCGAGAAGACGUAGCAAUACGUUUGUAAAGCGGCGAACGGGUGAGGAAUACAUGGGUAACCUACCCUCGAGUGGGGAAGUAACUAGCCGAAAGGUUAGCUAAUACCGCGUACGCUUCUUGGACUUCGGUUCAGGGAGGAAAGCGAUACCGUGGGUAUCGCGCUCUUGGAUGGGCUCAUGUCCUAUCAGCUUGUUGGUGAGGUAACGGCUCACCAAGGCUUCGACGGGUAGCUGGUCUGAGAGGACGAUCAGCCACACUGGCACUGCGACACGGGCCAGACUCCUACGGAGGCAGCAGUAAGGAAUAUUGCGCAAUGGGCGAAAGCCUGACGCAGCGACGCCGCGUGGGGGA
rnacentral:rRNA from 1 species